rnacentral:rRNA from 1 species
CACGUAGGGUGCGAGCGUUGUCCGGAAUUAUUGGGCGUAAAGAGCUCGUAGGCGGUUUGUUGCGUCGGCUGUGAAAUCCCGAGGCUCAACCUCGGGUCUGCAGUCGAUACGAGCAAACUAGAGUGUUGCAGGGGAGACUGGAAUUCCUGGUGUAGCGGUGAAAUGCGCAGAUAUCAGGAGGAACACCGGUGGCGAAGGCGGGUCUCUGGGCAACAACUGACGCUGGAGGAGCGAAAGCCGUGGGGAGC